rnacentral:rRNA from 1 species
AGUGAACGCUGGCGGCAGGCCUAACACAUGCAAGUCGAGCGGCAGCGCGGGGGCAACCCUGGCGGCGAGCGGCGGACGGGUGAGGAAUUCGUCGGAAUCUGCCUUUUUGUGGGGGAUAACGUAGGGAAACUUACGCUAAUACCGCAUACGUCCUACGGGAGAAAGUGGGGGACCGCAAGGCCUCACGCAGAAAGAUGAGCCGACGACCGAUUAGCUAGUUGGUGGGGUAAAGGCCCACCAAGGCGACGAUCGGUAGCUGGUCUGAGAGGAUGAUCAGCCACACUGGGACUGAGACAAGGCCCAGACUCCUACGGGAGGCAGCAGUGGGGAAUAUUGGACAAUGGGCGCAAGCCUGAUCCAGCCAUGCCGCGUGUGUGAAGAAGGCCUUCGGGUUGUAAAGCACUUUUGUCCGGAAAGAAAUCCCUGGAGCUAAUACCUUCGGGGGAUGACGGUACCGGAAGAAUAAGCACCGGCUAACUUCGUG